AAAAAAAACCGCUACAGCCUUGCUUGAAAUUUCCUCUCAGUGCCACUGUGCAGGAUGCCAUCCAGAGCUUCCUUAAAGGUAUUCGGGGAUAUGAGGGAUGUGGGUGACAGAAAUACCAGGGUAACCUUGUUUUUCCUUGAGGACAUUAUUGAGACCCUUGGUGGGAGGGGUUUCUGGUAAGGGGCAAUUUUGUGUUUGCCUGUUCUUUGGGAAUAUCACCUGGAGAUAGAUGGAUUCCCAGACCCACCAAAUCUAGGUUUUAGACCAAAAAAGAAUGUUUUAUUAUUAGAAUUGAGUAUAUCUCAGGUCCUCUUUCAUUACUACAACACAAAAUAAAUCUGGGGGCCAGGAACGGUGGCUCACACCUGUAAUCCCAGCACUUUGGGAGGCUGAGGCAGGUGGAUUGCCUGAGAUCAGGAGUUCCAGACCAGUCUGGCCAACAUGGUGAAACCCCGUCUCUACUAAAAAUACAAAAAAAAUUAGCUGGGCGUGGUGAUAUGCCCCUGUAAUCCCAGCUACUUGGGAGGCUG
rnacentral:lncRNA from 1 species